rnacentral:snoRNA from 1 species
UAACCAUGGUGGGGUAAAGGGCUUGUAAUUUUUUGUAUCUCUCACAUGCUUGGUAUAAGGUCUCACUAUCAUUUUAAGCAAAUGAAGAAAUUUUCCUUCUUCGGGA